CUCAUUUGUAAGUAGAAGAGCGUCUGUAUUCACAUUUGCACUGGUCACUUUGAUUAGCAACUUGUCUUUUUACCCCCAUGGAAGGAAACUUUCUGUCUACUGUUCAGGUUCAAAGCCAUUGAUAUUCUCUGUCAUGGACCCAGACGGGUUUGGUGCGGGAACGUGGCAUGCCACGGGCACAAAAAAGGUGGACGACCCACUGGCGACUCCAAGAACAACAAACGGGGUUUAUUUAACUGAACUAAAAACACAGGGCAAUCGAUAGAAAAUGACAGAGGGCAAGCAUGGAACAGCGGUGACAAGAAUAAACAAGGCAAAGUGAAGGGAACAGGAAUGUUUUCUUGUGUUCACUUUGGACUGUAAAGUUGUUGCGGCAAAAUGGC